CACAAGUGUGUGAUAUAAAGUUUUUAUUCCAGUUUGAGUGACAAACAUUGCAUGCUUAACAAUAAUAACAAUAAUAAUAGCAAAUAAGAGAUUGAAUGAUUCACGGCUUUCUGAUAAGUUUUCGAAACCAAACAGAAACAAAAUGAGCGAAAGAGUACCUCUAAUUUCAAAAGAAGAUGACAUUUAUGUGGCAGAAAUGGGAACAUCUACUGCAAUGAGACAAAUUAAAA